rnacentral:rRNA from 1 species
AACGAACGCUGGCGGCAUGCCUAACACAUGCAAGUCGAACGAGACCUUCGGGUCUAGUGGCGCACGGGUGCGUAACGCGUGGGAACCUGCCUUUAGGUUCGGAAUAACUCAGAGAAAUUUGAGCUAAUACCGGAUGAUGUCUUCGGACCAAAGAUUUAUCGCCUUUAGAUGGGCCCGCGUUGGAUUAGCUAGUUGGUGGGGUAAAGGCCUACCAAGGCGACGAUCCAUAGCUGGUCUGAGAGGAUGAUCAGCCACACUGGGACUGAGACACGGCCCAGACUCCUACGGGAUGCAGCAGUGGGGAAUAUUGGACAAUGGGCGAAAGCCUGAUCCAGCAAUGCCGCGUGAGUGAUGAAGGCCUUAGGGUUGUAAAGCUCUUUUACCCGAGAUGAUAAUGACAGUAUCGGGAGAAUAAGCUCCGGCUAACUACGUG